rnacentral:lncRNA from 1 species
UAUGUAGGGGUGGGUUCGGUACGGUUACCGUACCAAAACCCUUGUACCAAUUACCGUACAAAACUUUCGAUUUGGUAAAAUCUAUUACCAUUACCAUACCAAACUUUCGGUAUACCGAAGUUCGGUAUUGCCAAAAGUUCGGUUGGCAUGAAAUGGCAAUGGUAAUCGCCACUUUGUUUUGGGACAAAAUCUUUUUUUGUUUUUUUAACCCAAUUCAAGGGAAAAACUUUUUUUGGGUACCUUUAUCUCAUACAUUAUAGAUUAAAUUCAUCAUUCACAAUUCACACACAUAAUAAUUCAAAUUAUGCAUCAAGAUUCAUCAUGAAAAUUAAGCUUACAAUCCAAAUAGAAGUUACAAACCAAAACAAAUAGAAGUUAACAAUCCAAAUAGAAAUUAAAGUUUCAAAGCAAAUGAAAAUUGGAAGUAAACUUCAAAAAGGAGAAUUCAUUGAUCAGUUAUUCAAGCUUGAGAUGUCAAAGCUUUUGGAGGAGGCAUUGAACUUGUAGAAGAUUGAGUUUGUGUCAAGCC